GUAUUGUUUCUGGUAUAUCUGCCGGAGUGAUGUUGCAAAUUAAAUGACGUUAUUUUCUUUCUCUCUUUUUCUCUGAAUUUUGUUUCCGUACAGGACACAAUCAAGCAAUGAAAGAUGGGAAAAGAGAGUCAAUAUUCAUUGACGGUGGGCACGGCGUAUCCGUCCAGCUCCCUGCCUGCACUCGGGAUCCUGGCGCAGCCUGUGUGGACGCCGGCCGGCCGGCCAGCGCUCUGAUCUGCCGUUAGCUGUGGUAACGAGUUAUGACUGUGACCUUCCUGACUGAAGUAAUGGUCUCUGCAAACGCAUAUGCACUUUGGAGCAGGAAAGGUGACAGCCAUAAAGAAAAUGAAAAGAAGUUGAAAGAAAAUGCCCUUUCCUCUGAAAAGAAAGCAGAAGAGUCUAGGCACCCAAAAGCCCUCCUGUUGGAACAUAAUCAGCUGAAAUAAGGUAAUUUUAAC
rnacentral:lncRNA from 1 species